rnacentral:rRNA from 1 species
GACGAACGCUGGCGGCGUGCUUAACACAUGCAAGUCGAGCGAGGCCCCUCCUUCGGGAGGGUGUCCUAGCGGCGAACGGGUGAGUAACACGUGGGCAACCUGCCCUCAGCUCUGGGAUAACUCCGGGAAACCGGGGCUAAUACCGGAUACGACCUCCACGGGCAUCUGCGGAGGUGGAAAGUUUUUCGGCUGAGGAUGGGCCCGCGGCCUAUCAGCUAGUUGGUGGGGUAGUGGCCCACCAAGGCGACGACGGGUAGCCGGCCUGAGAGGGCGACCGGCCACACUGGGACUGAGACACGGCCCAGACUCCUACGGGAGGCAGCGGUGGGGAAGGUGGCGCAAUGGGCGGAAGCCUGACGCAGCGACGCCGCGUGGGGGAAGAAGGCCUUCGGGUUGUAAACCUCGUUCAGCAGGGCCGAAGCGAAAGUGACGGUACCUGCAGAAGAAGCACCGGCCAACUACGUG